GUGUUCACCCUUGUCUCGCAUUGACGUCAGCGCCGCAAAACUUUUUUAAAGGCGGAGCUCACGCCAGUGCAACACAAUGGUGAAACC
rnacentral:pre_miRNA from 1 species